UACGAAGGGGGCUAGCGUUGCUCGGAAUCACUGGGCGUAAAGCGCACGUAGGCGGAUCUUUAAGUCAGGGGUGAAAUCCCAAGGCUCAACCUUGGAACUGCCUUUGAUACUGGGGAUCUCGAGUCCGGAAGAGGUUGGUGGAACUGCGAGUGUAGAGGUGAAAUUCGUAGAUAUUCGCAAGAACACCAGUGGCGAAGGCGGCCAACUGGUCCGGCACUGACGCUGAGGCUCGAAAGCGUGGGGAGCAAACAGG
rnacentral:rRNA from 1 species